GUGCUCGCUUUGAUAGCACAUAUACUGAAAUUGGAACAAUACCAUGAAGGUUAGCAUGGCCCCUGCGCAAGGAUGACAAGCAAAUUCAUGAAGUGUUCCAUAUUUUU